AUGUGUGUGACUACUGACCACUAAUGUGGUUUCAUUCAGAGAUGUGUGUGACUACUGACCACUAACGUGGUUUCAUUCAGAGAUGUGUGUGACUACUGACCACUAAUGUGGUUUCAUUCAGAGAUGUGUGUGACUACUGACCACUAAUGUGGUUUCACUCAGAGAUGUGUGUGACUACUGACCACUAACGUGGUUUCACUCAGAGAUGUGUGUGACUACUGACCACUAAUGUGGUUUCACUCAGAGAUGUGUGUGACUACUGACCACUAAUGUGGUUUCACUCAGAGAUGUGUGUGACUACUGACCACUAAUGUGGUUUCACUCAGAGAUGUGUGUGACUACUGACCACUAAUGUGGUUUCACUCAGAGAUGUGUGUGACUACUGACCACUAAUGUGGUUUCAUUCAGAGAUGUGUGUGACUACUGACCACUAAUGUGGUUUCAUUCAGAGAUAUGUGUGUGACUACUGACCACUAACGUGGUUUCACUCAGAGAUGUGUGUGACUACUGACCACUAAUGUGGUUUCAUUCAGAGAUAUGUGUGUGACUACUGACCACUAACGUGGUUUCACUCAGAGAUGUGUGUGACUACUGACCACUAAUGUGGUUUCAUUCAGAGAUGUGUGUGACUACUGACCACUAAUGUGGUUUCACUCAGAGAUGUGUGUGACUACUGACCACUAAUGUGGUUUCACUCAGAGAUGUGUGUGACUACUGACCACUAAUGUGGUUUCACUCAGAGAUGUGUGUGACUACUGACCACUAACGUGGUUUCACUCAGAGAUGUGUGUGACUACUGACCACUAAUGUGGUUUCACUCAGAGAUGUGUGUGACU